UGUGACUGUAUGACAGCAGUUCAUCUCACUGUGCUGAAAUCUGGUCAUGACAUGCAAUAUGGAAGAUUGCAACAUUUAUGAGAAUGUUGAAUUCCCAAAAGACGCUGAAAAGAAGCAGCAUGGAGAGAAAGAAGAUCAAACACCAUCAGGUGAAUGUCAGGAUGCUGACAGCAAUAUUGAUUAUGAAUGCUUUGAAUGGGAAGACACCUGUCAUACAGAACAACAGAACCAAAAACAACCACAGAGGGGUAGCCUAGAGCUGAAAUCCUCCAGAUCUACAGGUUCUGCUGGCUGUGAGACCAAAUACACUGUUCUUUGCCUUGUGCUGGCAACUGUCUUCGUCUUCUUCAUGUCUCUCCUCAUGGCAGUCUUCAUCAGCAACGCAGCCCUGAAAGAGGAGAUUAAAAACCUGAGAAGGACACAUUCCAUGUGGACAGAAAACAUUACAGAAGCCAUGAGGAAGCUCACAGAGGAACAGGACAGUUUGAGUACCCAAGAUGCUAACAUUUCUUCACAAAUUGCCCAGCUCAGAAUGCAAGAUGCUAGCAUCUUUGCAGAAAUAACCCAGCUUAAAUUGCAUGUAUAUGCUUUGAAGUCUUGUCCAUGUGAUUGGAAGAUGUUCAACGGGAAAUGUUACUACUUUUCCCAAGACACAAGAGACUGGAAUGGAGCUAAAUCUCACUGCAGUCAGCAGGGCUCUAAUCUUGCUGUUGUCAAGACUUCAAAAGAACUGAAGUUUUUAGGAAGUCAGAUCUCAUCAGAUCACUGGCUGGGGCUGAUCUAUCAACAAAGGACCUGGACAUGGCUGGAUGGCAGCUCUGUGGAGAGGAGCUUUUGGGAUUCUGGACGGCCAUCUUCCAAUCCUGGAUGUGGAAAGAUGACAAAUAAACUCAGUAAAAGCAACUGCGCCAGUGCCUACAGAUGGAUCUGUGAGAAGGCAGCCUUGGGAUCUCAGCUUUGUGUUUAAUUUCAGGAAACCAACUCAAAAUUCAGCAAUGUCACUAGGUGCCCAGAAUUAGGAGAGAGAAAUCAAUAUCUAGAAGACGAGACCCAGGACCACAAACAGAAAAAAAGAGAAGAAAAACCCUCCAAAUCUAAAGAUUCAGUUGUUUGCGGGACCAAAGCCAUUGUUCUUAACAUUCUAUUGGUGCCUGCCUCUAUCAUCUACACUGUGCUCGUCACAGUAGUCUUCAUGCAAAACUCAGCCCUGAAUGCAGAGAUUCAGCACUUGAAAAUGAUAUAUUCCUUAUGGGAGAUGAACGUUUUCAAGUUAUCAAAGAGCUCACAGAGGAACAGGAUGGUUUGAGGAGCCAAGACUUUGAGAUGUCUUUGGAAUUUAGUAACAUACAAUCUGAAGUUGCUCAGUUCCAACAGCAAGAUUCUCAGAUAUUGCCCAGGCUGAACAACAUAGAGUCAAAGCUUCAAACAGGAGCAUGUGAAGUUCUGUCCAUGUGACUGGAAGAUGUUCAACAGGAAAUGUUACUACUUUUCCCAAGACAUAAGAGACUGGAAUGGAGCUAAAUCUCACUGCAGUCAGCAGGGCUCUAAUCUUGCUGUUGUCAAGACUUCAGAAGAACUGACAUUCUUGAAAAAUUAUAUCUCUGGAGACACAUGGAUUGGACUGAGUACAGUGGAGCAUGGAGGGCAGUGGAAGUGGAUUAAUGGGAAUUUAGUAGAGGACAGAAGCUUGUGGCAAAAUGGACAACUACUGUAUAUAACACUGGUAGCAGUCAAUAUUGUGGGGAGAUCACAUCCUCUAAUCUGUAUGCUGACAGCUGUAGCACAAAGCAGCGCUGGAUCUGUGAGAAGUCAACAUAAAAAUCCUCACUUUUGUUUUUUACUAAAUAGGCACCAAAUCAAUGUAUGACCAAAUCAAUGUACUGUAUGAACUCAGCAAUACAACUACUGAUGAAUCAACAGCAGGGACACCCCCAGUUUAGGUUUGCUCUGUACAGUAAUUCUGUGAAUUCUGUUUAUUAUCCUCCUUUGCUUAAACUACUCAGCCUUGAAAGUGAUACUUCUUUUUAAAGAAAUGGGAGGAUGAGAACCUUAGAUCAAUUUUCUACCUGAUCGCCUCUCACCCUUGUAUAGUUGAUUCAUGUAAAGAUGAAACAUGCUAAAUGUGCCAUAUGCCCUCCUCUAGUUUGUAACAAUUCUUAUCUUACCAGAAAUAUUUUCAAGACAGUGUGGGGGACAUUCAGUUAUAAACCAGGGAUCACAGGUCAAAAUGGUGACCUAACUGUAUAUCUGACUAUCUGGCCCUCAGCUUGGGCUUAAAUCUUCACUCAUGAUUGAGUCUAACUGUGAAAGGUCUAAACUUCAAGAUGAUCUUAUAGGUUUCUUGAGCCUAAUCCUGUAGUUGUAGCACAGAUAUAGUUUUAAUUGACAGUUAUGACAGAUGGGAACUGUUAAGCACUUCUGAACCUGUAUAAGUAAUAUUUACAGUAUGUGUGUACAGGUGUUUGUGAUACUAGUGUUUAUGUUUGUCAUAUACUUAUAGUAGGUGAUUUGUAAUAUAUUUAUUACUUUCGUUUUUUUUUUCUGUAACUGGUCUAAUGUGGUUUUUAAAACUUUCUUACAUGUGUUUUAACAUGUAUUUCAAGAUGCACAGACGUGAUUCCAAAUUUUAAAAAAUGAAUGUGUACUGCUUCAUCAGUACUGUACUUCGUUUCUAAUUUCGUAGUACUUGUACAGUGUAUAGUAAUAAUGACAAAACCUGUCUACAAAUUAAAGAAAACGUAUAGACGUUCCAAUGAAAAUAAUAUGAACAAAGUUGUAUUUUUCUUCAAUUUUUUUCUGGAGUGUAUUACAGUUGAAAUAAAUAUCCAUCGAU